GUGUGGAAGCGUGGUAACACGUGGAGCUGACGAAUACUAAUCGGUCGAGGACUUAUCCACA
rnacentral:rRNA from 1 species